rnacentral:rRNA from 1 species
CAGGCCUAACACAUGCAAGUCGAGCGGUAACAUUUCUAGCUUGCUAGAAGAUGACGAGCGGCGGACGGGUGAGUAACGCGUAGAAAUCUACCUAGUAGUGGGGGAUAGCCCAGAGAAAUUUGGAUUAAUACCGCAUACGCCCUACGGGGGAAAGCGGGGGAUCUUCGGACCUCGUGCUAUUAGAUGAGUCUGCGUCGGAUUAGCUUGUUGGUGAGGUAAUGGCUCACCAAGGCGACGAUCCGUAGCUGGUCUGAGAGGAUGACCAGCCACACUGGAACUGAGACACGGUCCAGACUCCUACGGGAGGCAGCAGUGGGGAAUAUUGCACAAUGGGCGCAAGCCUGAUGCAGCCAUGCCGCGUGUGUGAAGAAGGCCUUAGGGUUGUAAAGCACUUUCAGCAGUGAGGAGAGGGGUGUCGUUAAUAGCGCCAUCCUGUGACGUUAACUGCAGAAGAAGGACCGGCUAACUCCGUG